rnacentral:rRNA from 1 species
GACGAACGCUGGCGGCGUGCUUAACACAUGCAAGUCGAACGCUGAAGCUCAGCUUUUGUUGGGGGGAUGAGUGGCGAACGGGUGAGUAACACGUGAGUAACCUGCCCCCUUCUUUGGGAUAACGCCCGGAAACGGGUGCUAAUACUGGAUAUUCACUGGUCUUCGCAUGGGGGUUGGUGGAAAGGGUUUUUCUGGUGGGGGAUGGGCUCGCGGCCUAUCAGCUUGUUGGUGGGGUGAUGGCCUACCAAGGCUUUGACGGGUAGCCGGCCUGGGAGGGUGACCGGUCACAUUGGGACUGAGAUACGGCCCAGACUGCUACGGGAGGCAGCAGUGGGGAAUAUUGCACAAUGGGCGCAAGCCUGAUGCAGCGACGCCGCGUGAGGGAUGGAGGCCUUCGGGUUGUGAACCUCUUUCGCUCAUGGUCAAGCCGCAACAAUGGUUGUGGUGAGGGUAGUGGGUAAAGAAGCGCCGGCUAACUACGUG